AGCCUUGUGCUGCAGUAGUUAAGCGCUUGGCUGCUAACCAAGAGGUUGGUGGUUCAAACCCACCAGUCU
rnacentral:tRNA from 1 species